UCAAUUCUGAAGGCAGAUCUAUUGGCUAGCAUUGCUGGCUAUAGACUGAACAAAUACAGACAACUCUCAACAACGGAUAUCUUGGCUCCCGUAACGAUGAAGAACGCAGCGAAAUGCGAUACGUAGUGUGAAUUGCAGAAUUCCGUGAACCAUCGAAUCUUUGAACGCAAAUUGCGCUCGAGGCUUCGGCCAAGAGCAUGUCUGCCUCAGCGUCGGCUACUACCCUCAACUAAGUUUCCUACGAAAGACUAGGGGAUGCCAGUUGGAUAUGGCCGUCCGGUUUGCCUUUCAGGCUGCCGGUCAGCUGAAAUACAUUCACGCUCUGGGGGC
rnacentral:rRNA from 1 species